rnacentral:misc_RNA from 1 species
AACAAGGCGUACCUGCGGACCUGCGGAAGGAUCAUUAAAAAGAGUGUGUACCCCUCUGUAAAAUGAGUGGGUUACCUCCCGUCCUUUGUUGACCUCUUAGGAGGUUAUUUUGAACUUUCUGCUUCGGUGGGGUUAAACCUACCGGAACACCCUCAAAUUCUUAUCAUUUAAAAAUUGUUCAGUCUGAUUCUUGUUAAUAAAAACAAAAAACUUUCAACAAUGGAUCUCAGAUCGGAAGAG